rnacentral:misc_RNA from 1 species
CUCCCCCAUUGGGUCGUGCAGGAACGCCGCGAGAGGAAACAGUUGGACAUUCUUGAAAGGAAAGGGCUUGUCGCUCCUUCCGAGCCCUACAUCUGUGGAGUCUGCGGCCGAAAGUGUAAGAAUAAUAUGGAUCUCAAAAAGCAUUUUAGGCAGCUGCAUGAGCGGGAGAGGCAAAAGAAAUUGAGCAGAAUGAAGUCGCUCAAGGGGAAGAAGCGGCAGCGUUUCAAGGAGAGAUUCAUUUCUGGAAAUUAUAAGUAUAAUGAGGAGGCUAGGAGAUUGUUAACCCCAAAAGUUGGCUAUGGGUUGGCGGCGGAGCUGAGGAAAGCAGGGGUUUAUGUGAAGACGGUGGAGGAUAAGCCACAAGCGGCGGAUUGGGCAUUGAAGAGGCAGAUUGAGCAUUCAAUGAGUAGAGGGGUUGAUUGGUUGUUUCUGAUAUCUGAUGAUUCAGACUUCUGCGACAUUUUGAGGAGGGCAAGGGAGGCGAAUUUAGGGACGGUGGUGGUGGGGGAUAGGGAUAGGGCUUUAGGGAGGCAUGCGGAUUUUUGGGUGCCGUGGCUUGGGGUUGAGAAUGGAGAGGUUACAGAAAACGAUUUGGUGCCCAAGAGUAGGAAUAUAAGUGAGGAUAGAGAAGAGAAUGAUGGCUUCUUUUCUGUUACACAUUUUGAAGGCAAUGUGGCUGGUGUCGAGGGUGAUGUGGAUAACGUCCUUAAUGAGCUUGCAGGAGCAAGGUCUGAUUGGAGUGGUGUCAGGAUUUCUGUUUUCUCGGAAGGGGAAGAAGAAGAGGACCAGGAUUACUUCUUGUGGGACAGUGAGGAUGAGGACAUUGAAGGGGAAGAUGGGGAUUUUUUGUAAAUAUUUUUAGGUAGAGGCUGGCAUGAAAUUUGUUUCGUGAAUCUGGAUAUUUUGUUCAGGAAAAAAAGAAUCACAUUUUGAGAAUGAUGAG